GGCGGAUGUGGCCAAGUGGAUCAAGGCAGUGGA
rnacentral:tRNA from 1 species